AAUUUCCCCCCUUAAUUUCUCCAUUCAUUCCUAAUGUUUUUCUUACAAAUGAUCAAUUUGUGAAUUUAAAUUGAAUUUACUUUGAUUUUGGGUGUGGAUACAAAGAAUAGGUUUAUGAAUUUCAAUUGAAUAUUAGUUUUUGUAAUUUGUUAAAUGAGAAAGAGAGAGCAUAGAUCAUAGAUUUAGGGAAAGGGAGAGAAAGUAAGGAGAGAUGCCGA
rnacentral:misc_RNA from 1 species